rnacentral:rRNA from 1 species
UACGGAGGGUGCAAGCGUUGUUCGGAAUCACUGGGCGUAAAGGGCGUGUAGGCGGUCUAUCAAGUCUGGUGUGCAAUCCCCUCGCUCACUGAGGGAACUGCGUCGGAAACUGAUAGACUAGAGUACCGGAGAGGAAGGUGGAAUUCCCGGUGGAGCGGUGAAAUGCGUAGAUAUCGGGAGGAACACCGGUGGCGAAGGCGGCCUUCUGGACGGAUACUGACGCUGAGACGCGAAAGCGUGGGGAGCAAACAGG